GUGGUUAUGCCAGAUAUAUAUGGGUUAGCUUUAAGCGCUAAUUAUGGAAUUAUUCCUGAUCACU
rnacentral:tRNA from 1 species